rnacentral:rRNA from 1 species
AAUGAACGCUGGCGGCAUGCCUUACACAUGCAAGUCGAACGGCAGCAUGACCUAGCUUGCUAGGUUGAUGGCGAGUGGCGAACGGGUGAGUAAUGCAUCUGAACGUGCCUUUUAUUUGGGGAUAACGUAGCGAAAGUUACGCUAAUACCGCAUAUUCUCUGAGGAGGAAAGCAGGGUGCCUUCGGGCCUUGCGCUAGAAGAGCGGCCGAUGUCGGAUUAGCUAGUUGGUGAGGUAAAGGCUCACCAAGGCAACGAUCCGUAUCGGGUCUGAGAGGCUGAUACGCCACACUGGGACUGAGACACGGCCCAGACUCCUACGGGAGGCAGCAGUGGGGAAUUUUGGACAGAGGGCGCAAGCCUGAUCCAGCCAUGCCGCGUGAGUGAAGAAGGCCUUCGGGUUGUAAAGCUCUUUCGGCUGGGAAGAAAUCGCACUCUCUAAUACAGGGUGUGGAUGACGGUACCAGCAGAAGAAGCACCGGCUAACUACGUG